GUCUUUCAGGGACUUGGGAGGAAUUCCAGUCACCAGGAGGGUGUUUCGGUGACUUGAGAGGGUGUUUUGGUGACCAAAACGGUCUUUCAGUAACUUGGGAGGAGUUUUGGUCACCAGGAGGGUGUUUUGAUGACUUGGGAGGAGUUUUGGUGACCAAAAAGGUGUUUCGGUGACUUGGGAGGAGUUUUGGUGACCAAAAAGGUCUUUCAGUGACUUGGGAGGCGUUUUGGUGAC